rnacentral:rRNA from 1 species
GAUGAACGCUGGCGGCGUGCCUAAUACAUGCAAGUCGAGCGAACAGGCGAGGAGCUUGCUCCUCUGACGUUAGCGGCGGACGGGUGAGUAACACGUGGAUAACCUACCUAUAAGACUGGGAUAACUUCGGGAAACCGGAGCUAAUACCGGAUAAUAUAUUGAACCGCAUGGUUCAAUAGUGAAAGACGGUUUUGCUGUCACUUAUAGAUGGAUCCGCGCCGCAUUAGCUAGUUGGUAAGGUAACGGCUUACCAAGGCAACGAUGCGUAGCCGACCUGAGAGGGUGAUCGGCCACACUGGGACUGAGACACGGUCCAGACUCCUACGGGAGGCAGCAGUAGGGAAUCUUCCGCAAUGGGCGAAAGCCUGACGGAGCAACGCCGCGUGAGUGAUGAAGGUCUUCGGAUCGUAAAACUCUGUUAUUAGGGAAGAACAAAUGUGUAAGUAACUAUGCACGUCUUGACGGUACCUAAUCAGAAAGCCACGGCUAACUACGUG